GUGAACCGGGAUGAGCUCAAAUUUGAAAUCUGGCGUCUUUCAGGCGUCCGAGUUGUAAUCUAUAGAGGCGUUUUCCGCGCCGGACCGCGUCCAAGUCUCUUGGAAUAGAGUAUCAAAGAGGGUGACAAUCCCGUACUUGACGCGACAACCGGUGCUCUGUGAUACGUUCUCAACGAGUCGAGUUGUUUGGGAAUGCAGCUCUAAAUGGGUGGUAAAUUCCAUCUAAGGCUAAAUAUUGGCGAGAGACCGAUAGCGAACAAGUACCGUGAGGGAAAGAUGAAAAGCACUUUGGAAAGAGAGUUAAACAGCACGUGAAAUUGUUAAAAGGGAAACGAUUGAAGUCAGUCGUGUGAAAGGUAUUCAGCCGUCUCUGGCGGUGUAUUUGCCUUUCACGGGUCAACAUCAGUUUAGUCCGGUAGAAAAAGGCUGGAGGAAGGUGGCACCCUCGGGUGUGUUAUAGCCUCCUGUCACAUGUGCCGGAUUAGACUGAGGAACGCAGCUUGCAGCAAUGCCGGGGUUCGCCCACGUACAAGCUUAGGAU
rnacentral:rRNA from 1 species